GUCACUUUAGGCGGGAUGAAAAUCAAAAACAUAUUCUGUGAAAAAUAUAAGUAUUAUUGCGGUGAUUUCUAUUACAAGUGUGAAAUUUUGAUAUUUAAAUUCGUUGCGUUUAUUAUAAAGCCGUACUUUUCAGAGGAUGUCCCAUAACAACUAUUUAGUAGUUCAAUGCUCGUUUGAUGAGGAGGAAUCGUAUCUUUUCGUGCUACCUUCUUCAUGGGUCGUGGAAAAAGGUUGGAACAAAGGUGUUCGUGAUAAAUUAACGGCAUUAGACGGAGGAGAUAUUUGUUACUGGCCGGCGAAAGCUGCUGGCUACCGAUUGCUGGAAAAAGCCAAGAAAACAACCAACAUAAGCAUCGACAAAAAUUUGCUUAUCCCUUACCGAUGCAAAAUUAAACGUAUUGGUUUUGAAACGUACAAUGAUGCAUGCAAAGAACAGAAGCUAAUGGAAAUGCACUCAGAUACAGAUAAUA